rnacentral:lncRNA from 1 species
CGCCGCUAUAGAACAACAUAACUGUAAAAUUUGUAUACCCAGUACUUGGCGACCUUGGACUUGCAGAUUCGGGACAAAAUUUCGCAUCUUUUCCACUCUGAUCACCACCGAUUGACUAAUGCCAUGUUGUUCAAGAGUAUUAGCUUUCGUAUGACAUUUUUCAGUGAGCUACACAAGAAUAUUUCAAUUUUUUAGAUAUUGUUUGUGCUGUCUCAGGUGCAACAUAGGAAAUGUUUAAUAAAUU